UUCCUUAACAAAUCUUUUCUUUUUUUUUUUUUUUAAAUUUCACAUCGCAUUUUCUUAUGAUAUACCUUUCUAGAAUCUGUCUUUAUCUCGUGCUUUCCCUUACACGUACUGGAACAGUUAAUCUCUCAAGUCAAUGCAACAAGAGGAAUAAACAUAUGGUUUCAAUUUACUACGUUAAUUACAUUUUUGGUUACAAUAAAGGUCAAGCAAUUUGACAAACUGAAUUGAAUUUGGAAAAAAAAAAAAGUGUAGAUCCAUCCAUGGUUACAAACUCAAUUAGUCAUUCUCUUCCAACUCUGUAAAAUGAGCUAUCAUUUGCAUAAGGCAAAUUGCAUGUAGGCAAAGUACACCGAUUAAUAACUAGAGGGCAAACAAAUGGAAUCCCUUUUCUACUUCAAAUUCUGUUCCAUUCUUCUUUAAAUUGGGGAACUCAUCAACAUUCUCCCUAGAUUCCAAACCGCUUUCUGAUCUUUGCAAGUUAUGCUAUAUCAGAACUCCAACGCUAAGUUCAGCACUUCAAUGUUC
rnacentral:lncRNA from 1 species